UGUAAAUCCAAACAGCAACGCUCCUGAGUUUGUGUCCCACGUCACCUUCAGUCCGCUCAGAGCAGAGGAAUCAUUUCCAUAGAGAGGAGGCUUUGCAUCGUCAGCUGAUCCUCCACUGAACUGAGAAGCUUUAUAGUCCUGUGACUCCAACUCUGCAGGACUCAGACCCGUCAGUCGACCACAACCACCAUGACUCUCAUCACCCUCCUCAUCUGGACGCUGGCCUGCUGCAGCUUCACAGGAUGCAGCGGCCAGAUGACUGUGACUCAGCCUCCAGUCGUGACAUUUACUCCAGGAUCCACUGUCACUCUGACCUGUAAAACCAACCCCAGUGUUUAUAUUCAUAAUUCUAAAGAUUGUCUGUCCUGGUACCAACAGAAACCUGGACAGGCUCCCAAGCUUCUUAUAUACUUCGCAUCAACUCUUAAUUCAGGAACUCCCUCUCGAUUCAGUGGCAGUGGCUCUGGUUCUAGCUUCACCUUAACCAUCAGAGGUGUUCAGGCUGAAGAUGUUGGAGAUUAUUACUGUUUAGGUUUACACAGCAGUGGAGUGUCAACACAGUGAUUUAGAGCCGUACAA